GGGUGUAGCUCAGUGGUAGAGCGCUUGCUUUGCAUGUGUGAGGCACUGGGUUCGAUCCUCAGCAUCACA
rnacentral:tRNA from 1 species